UAAUUUUGACAAAUUGACAAUUAUUGUAAAAAAAUGUGAAUUGUGUUUUUAUUUAGGUCCUAAUAAAAUAAUAAAACAAAAUAUAUUCUGGUAUAAUUAUCUGAAUAUACACUAAUACAUAAUAUAAAAUAAAUUUAUAAAUAUGUCAGCACUACAGAAAAGCAUAAUGAAGAGUAAAUUGCCGCCCCGUUGUCCAAAAUCAGCAAGUGGAAAAUUAGCUCCAUUCGGAAUGGCCCGUCGCAAGGAUUACAGCCCUGUGCCGUGGCAGCAGUACUUUGAGAAGUAUGUGGAUGUGGAGACGGAAAGCGGAAGGUUCAGGGUGUAUUUGUCUCCAGAGCCAGACCACUCAAGCAGACCUCGGUUGGUGACAUUGCAUGGCGGAGGGUAUUCUGGAUUAAGCUGGGCACUUUUCACGGAAGAAAUAACGAACAUGAUCCACUGCCAAGUGAUCUCUAUGGACAUCAGAGGGCACGGAGAAACACAGGCUGACAACCCGGACGAUCUCAGUGCUGAUACUUUAGUGAAGGAUGUAGAACAAGUCCUACACAAGCUGUUUGGCGAAGAAUUACCCCCUAUAGUCCUGGUGGGGCACUCUAUGGGUGGCGCUGUGGCGGUCCGAGCCGCAUUACUACCAUCACUGGAGCCCUACGUCCACGGAAUCGCUGUCAUUGACGUCGUCGAAGGCACGGCGAUGGACGCGCUGGCCAGUAUGCAGAGCUUCCUGCGCGGGCGCCCCACCCACUUUCGCAGCAUUGAGCACGCUGUCGAGUGGUGCGUUAGAAGUGGCCAAGUGAGGAAUGUGGAUUCUGCUAAGGUGUCGAUGCCCAGCCAAAUCGUCAACUGUGAAACGAAUCUUCUCGCGACGAACGAGCUGGCGACGCACACGCCGGAGGCGCCGCACGCGCCGGCGCCGAUGGCGCUAGCGCCGGCCGCCGACUGCAUCGCCGAGGAGCCCGAGGACGCCGACGCCGACUGCAUCGCCGAGGAGCCCGAGGACGCCGACGCCGACUUCACGCCGCCGCCCACCGCGCCGCCCCAGCGUGGUGACGGGGACACUAACAUGAGAUACAAAUGGCGCAUCGACCUGUCGAAGACGGAGCGCUACUGGUCGGGCUGGUUCCAGGGGCUGUCGGCGCGCUUCCUGUCCGUGCGAGCCCCGCGGCUGCUGCUGCUCGCCUCCAUCGAGGGGCUGGACCGGGAGCUCACCAUCGGACAGAUGCAAGGUGAGACAUUACAUCGACCUGUCGCAGACGGAGCGCUACUGGUCGGGCUGGUUCCAGGGGCUGUCGGCGCGCUUCCUGUCCGUGCGAGCCCCGCGGCUGCUGCUGCUCGCCUCCAUCGAGGGGCUGGACCGGGAGCUCACCAUCGGACAGAUGCAAGGUGAGACAUUACAUCGACCUGUCGCAGACGGAGCGCUACUGGUCGGGCUGGUUCCAGGGGCUGUCGGCGCGCUUCCUGUCCGUGCGAGCCCCGCGGCUGCUGCUGCUCGCCUCCAUCGAGGGGCUGGACCGGGAGCUCACCAUCGGACAGAUGCAAGGCAAGUUCCAGAUGCAAGUGUUGACACGGUGCGGGCACGCGGUGCACGAAGACACUCCCGGAGAGGUGGCGCGCGUGAUCGCCGCGUUCCUGCUGCGGCACCGCGUCACGGAGCCCACGGAGGCCGGCGAGGACAUGCACCUCACCUCCACGCCGGGCUGCUAGGGUCACACCGAGCCACGCGAGCCUACACGUGGGGAUCUUAUGCUCACUCCGUUCUAGAUAUUUAAAUUAUUUCAUUUAAUAUAAUAAUAAAAAAAAUAGUAUCAUUGGGUAAACUAUUCUGUGGAUUCCUAAAAUCUGUUAGAAUUUAUAAAAAAAUUGCCGAGUUGAAUAUUUUUGGGGCCAAUUCGAUUGCAAGUACGAAAUGUCACCGUUAGAAAAGGUUUAAAUAACCAUAAAAAAAAUUGAAUAACUUAAACCACCUCCAGAUUAAUUUUCUACAUAUCAAUCCUCUUUAGUCCAACGUAAAAGCACUCCGGAGUAUAAAAUAAUCAUAACCCUAAUUCAUGAUUGUAAUGAAGUAUUUACUAGCGCAGUCAGCUGUCAUCCUUUGAAGGAUUAUCAACCAUUCAUACAAGCAACGGUUUACACGGUUUGGUGCAAUCGGUCCUUAAACCGGGUUAUCCGUAGAUGGUCUAGAACGAAAAAUGACUAGUGUGUUGUUUUGCCUAAAUCGCGAUUAGUCUACAUCGCAAACGGUCUAGAACGCAAAAUGACCGUUUUAUUGUUUCCGUUUUAUCUUAACUUCAUAGCGACUGUUUGGCCUUUGGGCCAAAGGCUUUGGCCAUUUGAAGAUACCUAACGAACGAAUUUCUGGGCGAGCUCGCUCCAUCGUAGGCCACGUCUACGCCUCGGCAGGUCUGUGGCCAUGAGUAAGCCCAUUCAUAAUAAUAAAAAAAAAAAGCCUAACCUACCUAUAUAAAAUGUGGUGAUAUAAAAAUUGGGUUUUAUUGUGUUGUUUUGCCUAAAUCGCAAUUAGUCUACAUCGCAAACGAUCUAGAAUGCAAAAUGCCAAUGCAAAUGUCAUUUUGCGUUCUAGACCAUCUGCGAAUAACCCCUUAAACCAAUAGCUGCAAUGCGUACCAAGUAAUUUAAUUAUUAAAUUACAUUACGGUGCUAUAAUAAGCACUGCGUACGAUACACAUGCGAAUUAAUUCACAACUCGUUGCGCAUUUCCUAUUUUAUCGUAAAUAACUUUUAAUACACAAGCAACUGACCCAAUCGUCUUCAGCUAUCAAUACGCCUUUUGAUAGGAAUUGCGUCUAUAAAUCAUUACCUAGAGUUUAAAGGCCGAAUAGUGAAUUAUUAAUUGAUAAGUCUGAUCGACUUAAGAAAAAGUCUCAUUUAAUUAAAGUUAUUUAACUAAAUCUUACGUAAGUAACGUAAAUAGGUAGGGGUAUUGCUUCAAAUACCUAACUGUAAUUUUUGCGUAAAUAAUCCAUUCUUGCGCAAGUCAUACGAAAACAAAAGGGAAUUAUUAGUUCUUUUUACAUACAACAACACAAGUAGGUAUAAUCAGUCACAAACUUAAUACAUAAAUCGACAAAGAAAAUUAUUUAAGAUAGAAAUCUGAAUUUUAUUCUGUACAUAAAUUGAAUUUCUCGCAUAUCACUAAUUAAUUUAUUGCAAGUACUUAAAGUAUAUAUUUAUUUUGAUUUAUUGGUCCACGACGUAGCGUCCAAAAGAAAUUCAUAGUAUUUAUUGAGAUUUCUAAACAUUAAGCUAUCUGUGAAAUACUUUAGAAGAAUAAAUAAGUUAUCCUCAUAUAAGUAACCAGGAAAUUAAAUAUAUGUAAUGAAUCGAUAUUUAUCUCAUUUUUAUUUUCAUGUUAUUUCUCAUCACUCAUCAUCAUCAUCGCUUGCACUUGUCCCAUUCACUCGUUGUCGGCGCAGCAGGCCUAUUUCUUCCAUAGGUACCUAUUUUACCGUUUAGUUUAUAUUUCAUCGAUGUAAUAAUUACGCAAAAUACC